rnacentral:rRNA from 1 species
UACGAGGGAGGCUAGCGUUGUUCGGAAUUACUGGGCGUAAAGCGCACGUAGGCGGAUUUGUAAGUCAGGGGUGAAAUCCCGGGGCUCAACCUCGGAACUGCCUUUGAUACUGCAAAUCUCGAGUCCGGAAGAGGUGAGUGGAAUUCCUAGUGUAGAGGUGAAAUUCGUAGAUAUUAGGAAGACCACCAGUGGCGAAAGGCGGCUUGCCAGAACGCGCUCGACGGUGAGGGAUGGAAAGCUGGGGGAGCAAACCGG